GCUAGCGUAGCACAGGGGUAGUGCAGCUGAUUCGUAAUCAGCAGGUCGGGGGUUCAAAUCCCUUCGCUAGCACCU
rnacentral:tRNA from 2 species